AGCCAUUAAUUCAUCAACAUUUGUCAGCUGUCGUAUUGUCAUCUAAUAAUGAAAAUAGGAAUUUUAUAAAUCAUCUAAGAUUGCAGAUGUGUGUACAGCUGCACCAGAGGAUUCUGGCUGCCCCAGGAACUGAAUCCAAGUCUUCCAUAUGGCUUCCAGUCUCCUAGAAAAAGUGGUGCUGUCUGCCACCAACAGUCGAGCCCAGCAAAAAACAAGAGCCAGAUCACUGUCACCAAAGAAAAGGGGUGAAGUGUACACUAUCCAGAGCAAAUCUCCACUCUUUCAUGCCCUUUGUCAAUGCAACGCAAAAAAGCUAUGACUUGCUUGACUAGCACCGAGGAUUAUGUCCAUGUAAGAAUUCAACAAAGGAACAGUGGAAGCCCCUUACUGCUAUCCUAGGGAUGGCUGAUGGGUAUGCAAAAAAGAAACCUGUAAAGGUGAUUAAAACAAAAAUUCCAUACUAUACUUGAGCCUGAAGAAUAUGGAGAAGUAAUUCAGC